ensembl:lncRNA
AGUUUCUGCUGCACUGGGUCUUCGUUGCUGCUUGAGCUUGUCUCUGCUUGUGGUGCACGGACUUCUCUUGUUACAGAGCACAGGCUCUAGGGCGCAGGCUUCAGGAGUCGUCGAUCCUGGGCUCUAGGGCGCAGGCUCAGGAGUCGCUGCUCCUGGGCUCUAGGGCGCAGGCUCAGGAGUCGCUGCUCCUGGGCUCUAGGGUGCAGGCUCAGGAGUCGCUCUUGGGCUCUAGGGCGCAGGCUCAAUAGUUGGGGUGCCUGGGCUUAGUAGCUCCUCAGCAUCUGGGAUCUUCCUGGAUCAGAGAUCCAACCCUUAUCUCCUAUAUUGGCAGGUAGAGUCUUUACCACUGAGCCACCUGGGAAGCCCUCGUCAUUUUGUAGAUGAGAAUGGAGUACCAGCAGAGUUACAAGAUCAAGAAGUUACCACUCAGUCUGUUGGGCUUGCCUCAAUCUUCGUGCGCAUCUGUGGUGGUAGUUCCAGAACCUCAAGGGGAAGUUCACCUAAUUAAAGGAGAUGUAAAUCUGGAAAACACAUGGACUGGCAAUGAAAACUAAUUAACCCAAUUAUUCAUUCAAUCAGCGGUUCCACGGACUCUUCAAAUGGGAAGAAGCAUGGCGUUCCUAGAGAGGUUCUUCUGUUUACCAAAAUCAGGAAAUAUGACUGAACACUGGGUUUUGUGUGCAGCACUGCUGGGCAUUGGGUCAGAAAAGAGACGGCUUUCAUCUGCAACAGCACUGCGUUCCUGAAAUGUAGCUGAGAUGUUCAACGCAAGGAAAGCAUGAGUUCCCUUCCCUUCACUCUUAAACAAACAAAGAACUAUUAAUUUUUGCUGUGCUGGGUCUUGGUCGCCGUGAGCGGGCUUUUCUCUGGUUUCGGCAACUGGGGACUACUCUGCAGUUGCAGGUCUCUGGCUUCUCUUUGCUGAGCACGGGCCCUAGAGUGUACAGGCUUCAGGAGUUGUGACUCAUGGGCUCAGCCGCCCCAUUGCGGGUGGAAUCUUUCAGACCAGGUACCAAAUCCGUGUUCCCUGAAUUGGCAAAUGGAUUCUUCACCACUGGACCACCAGGGAAGUCUUGGCUCUUAAUGAGCACCUUCUCAGCUCUCUUCUGCAAUCCUCUACUAAGCUCUACAUCCCUACAGGUCGUCUCUAAGAAUCUGUGACUAACCCAGGUAGUUAUUUCUGUUUGUCUGGUUGGUUCUGUUUUAAUCUCGCCUGGGCUCUGCCUCUUCACUCUUAGAACUUGUGUGGAUAAGAAGGCAGCCACGGAUCCUUGAACAGCAGGACAACUGCUGUCAAUCGCAGCACUUAGAAUCUGCAGUUCAUCCUUCUUGUGAAAUGUGAAGAGACCUUCAACUCAAGUCUUUUUAAAAUGUGUCGAGCCUCGUUUAAGGAGGUUGUCUGACUGCGUCUCUGCCCUCAUCUGGUACUUUCUCGACUUAAUCUAACAUCUCACGUUGAAAAAAAAAAUAAAUCCAAUGCCAUUUAUGUUCACGUCUAUACUUUUGGGAAGAUGGUGCCCAUAAACUUUUCUUAGAUACAACUAAAAACUCCAUCUGUAAAGACUCUGAGAAAAAAACAGACAAAACCACUUCUGGGUUGUAUUUCUUUCAGCUCAUGGUCUUCAGCUCUUAGCAACUUUGCUGCCUAGCGGGUGUUUUGCGACUGGAGAUGCUUCUGUAGGCUCAGCUCUGGGUGGAGCAGGGAGAGCUGCUGGCACCCAGUGGGCAGAGCCUGGGCGACUGCCUCGGUUUCCAGGGCACGGGGCAGCCUCCACAACAGACAGCAUCUCUGGUGUCCACGGUGAGAAACCUUGAAGCAGGCUCAUCCUCGGGAAUCUCCCAACUCAUGUAUCUUUUUCUGGUCAGUAGUCACAGGGCUUUCACAAUGUAAUAUUAAUACACUUGUCCUGAUGCUGAAACACUAAAAUAUUGUUAAAUAGCUUGUUAACAAUCUGUUAAAUAUUUUAAAUAGAAUACUCUCCACUACUGAAAUCACUCAACAGUAUUGCUGGUUGCAUUUCCAGUGAUAUAAUUUUGUUACGUAAUAAAAAUUAUGGUGUUUUCUCCAAGCCUGCUAAAAAUCCUUUGCCAAGUUAAUAAAGGAGGCUAGCCUGAAUAUGUUUGAAAGAUUUAAAGGGGCCAAUGGUGUUCUAAUUAGAUCGAGGCUGUGUGUAAACACAUGCUCAUAUUCACACACACACGAAUGCCAUGUUUCCAUCGAUAAUCUUCACUAACCGGUAUUUAUAACCUUUAUGGUUGAUGGCAGGGAAACCAGAUCAAUUGUUGAGAUCCACAGGGUGAAUCACAAAACUCUCUGUUACUUACAUUCAAAUGUUUCCGUAGUUUUGUUUGUCACUUGAAAGCAAAUGAAACAAACGCACAGCUAGACAAACAGAAAGUUCCUAUCACUUUGGUUUAUCCCAAGCUCGUGUGUACCUUUCAUCCUCAGAGAAACAGGGAGCGAAGGGAAGAGUCAUCUGCCUGACACGUAUUGUCCCAGGUC